UGUGUGUGUGUCUGGGGGUGCUGUGUGUGUCUGGGGUGCAGUGUGUGUCUGGGGGUGCUGUGUGUGUGUGUCUGGGGGUGCUGUGUGUGUAUCUGGGGGUGCUGUGUGUGUUUGGGUGCUGUGUGUAUCUCGGGUUGCUGUGUGUGUGUCUGGAGUGCAGUGUGUGUCUGGGGGUGCUGUGUGUGUGUGUCUGGGGGUGCUGUGUGUGAGGGGGCUGUGUGUGUCUGGGGGUGCUGUUUGGGAAUUAAUUUUA